CUAAGCUGAGCCAAAUCCUCGCUCCAGGGAGAGAAAGGUUUCCCCCGUGUGAGGAGAUUGCUGCUGCUGCUGCUGCUGCUGCUGCUGCUUCUGUCCUUCCUCCACAGCCAGGCCUUCCCCCCUCCUCCCCCUUCACCAGAGCAGGGCAGCCACGGAAGGCUUGGCUCGAUUUCAGGGAGGCUCAGAUCCUGCAGCCACGUCAAUCACGUCUUCACCGCUGGCUGCGGGGCGGCCUUCGUGGCCGGGAUGCCACUGUGUGCCAUGCCAGUCCACAGUGGACGGUGAGGGGCAGGAGGAGGGCA
rnacentral:lncRNA from 1 species